CAAUGAAUGGCUCAUACCCCCUUAAGUAAUGAGCGGCAACGGAGCCACUGUGGAAGGAGACGACGACGAAGGGGACAACGCAGGUUCUUACCUGAGGAAAACCUUCCAGCACAGCCAAGACCACAGUGACCGUGCCGCCGACACAAGUUCCAAGCCAUCUUGAUCGUCUGAACAGAGAAAAUCUUCCAGCACAGCAAAGAGCCCAGUGACAGUGCCGCCGACGCUAGUUCCAAGCCAUCUUGAUCCACGUCCGAACCGAGUGCAAGUUGACGACGACGACGAACGCGAAAACCUUCCAGCACAGCCAAGGCCACAGUGACAGUGCCGCCGACACAAGUUCCAAGCCAUCUUGAUCGUCUGGACAGAGUGCGAGCUUGAAGAUCUAAAUAGCGAAGAGUCAUGACAAUUUAUGUAUUUAUGUGUAUUUAUGUAUAAUUUAUGCAACAAACCGAGCGGAAAAUUUCGGUAUUCAGGACAAAGCACACUUAAAACGCAAGCUCAACUAUGUACUCAUGCGUAAAGACAAUGUUGGCACAAAUUACUCCCAUUUUUCAUUAGAGGCUUCAGCGUCCCUAAAACCAUCCGAUCCGUCUGCUCAUUCGAGUUAUCAAAGAUAAUGUAAGCAUUAUACUUAAGGUUUCCUCAACUGCGUUUGAAAUGUCCUAACUGUAAACGAAAUGGGAUCAUUAAAUGGACACUUAAGGCAAUUACUAAGUCGACGUGGACUGUUUAAAUACCAUUCCAGGACCCUCGCAACGUU